rnacentral:lncRNA from 1 species
GUGAGCGGUUGCUUGGGCCAGAAGGUUCUCUGGUGGAGGCGCUCCUCCUGCUGCCCCGCCCAGUAGGUUCGUUCGCACCGCUUCUUCCACACCCUUUCUCCCUCCUCCUUCUCCUCGCCCCGCCUUUCCCCUCCCUUCUCCUCAACCCCUCUAGUUCCUUCCCCGCCUCGCCACCUUCCACGAUCUCGCGAGACUUGACCCAGAACAUUGCGGAUCGGGUCGGCGCCAUUUUGGGACUGAGACUGGUUGUGGGGGAGGGAAAAGCGGCAAAAGGGGAUUAUUCAAAGUACCGAAAACCUCCUCCCGGGAUCGAGCGCAGCGGCACCCCCAGGCCAGGGGCACCUCUGGUGUGGCAGAAGGUAACACCGUUCUCUCUGCUCCGCGCUGGAGUCUGGGGGAAAAAGGGGGUGCCCCUGUCGGCGUUGGGGUUUGAGGGGUCGGGAGCGGCGUUGGCGGCGCGAGGUGUGAGGCUGCCCGCGGACGCGGUGUGUGUGUGUGUGGGGGGGGUGGCGGAGAGCAAGGAGAGAGACGGAAGGACGGCGCUGAGAGAAGCCCCUUUAGGUGAUUGAAUUACUCCUAUAUGAAGAUCAUCUAGAUUUUGUGUAAAAGGCCCCGGAUAUUUGAAGUGGCCAUUUUGGGAUUACAAUGUUUUUGGAUAAUUUUGCCCCAGAAGUUUAUUAAAAGUGGCAAGAAUCAUCUCUGAAGUGAAUUUAUAGUAGUUGAACAAUUCUACAAGCUGCUUAAAAGAGACCCAGGCAUUUCUUCAGUAUUUUGGUUCAAACGGAUUCUAUAACUGGUUAAAUUCAGCUGGUGGUAUUUUUGCCUCUUCCCCCUACCCCCAUCCCUCUCCUUUAGUUGUUUUUCAGCCAAAACUGUAAGAUAUGUUUGAUUUGUGUACUGAAUAGUUUCGGCAGUUUCAGAUUACUGUUUAAAUAUUGCUGAAGUUUCUUGGCAGUUUAUUUUUACCUUUAUUAAAAAUUUUAGGAAUUUUUGACCUCAGCCCUUUUCAUGUCACAAUGGGACAGCUUUUCUAAAUGAAGACAUUGAAAGAAUACAGAGUUUUUUCCGUUUUAUCUUUUAUUUACGUGGAAAUUUAAGAUGUUGCAGUUUUCCAGCAGCAUGGUAGUAUUGAGAUAGCUAUGUGUCUCUAUAUGCUGAUGUUUAGGAAUGCUCUUCAGAUGUGAAAUUUUCUUUUUGUUUUUGCUUUUUUGCUCAUAAAUUGGAUAUUUCAUCCGGAGUGGAUAAGUACAACAUUUGACCAGUACAUGGAAUAAGAAAGAAGACUUUAAAAUCUUAAAUCCAAGGAACUUGGCUAAUUCUGGAGAUAGCCAUAUGAAAACUUUAAAACAGAAGUAUGGGUAGCUGACUUGAAGUAACUCUAUGUCAAAUAGUCAUAGGUUAAGUAUCUUCAAAGAACUUGGAUAUUAUAUCAGAGGAUACAAAAUAAAAAAACAAACUGGAAAACA